CCGGUGGCUGGGAAGGCAAGAAGUCGGCAUAGCUGUUUGAUGUGAUAUACGGCUGUGUCACUUCGAGCCAGCUCAAUCC
rnacentral:pre_miRNA from 1 species